GCGGAAGUGGCGGAAUUGGUAGACGCGCUUCGGAUGUGAGAGUUCAAGUCUCUCCUUCCGCACCA
rnacentral:tRNA from 1 species